CUACGGGAUGCACCAGUGGGGAAUAUUGCACAAUGGGCGCAAGCCUGAUGCAGCCAUGCCGCGUGUAUGAAGAAGGCCUUCGGGUUGUAAAGUACUUUCAGCGGUGAGGAAGGGAGUAAAGUUAAUACCUUUGCUCAUUGACGUUACCCGCAGAAGAAGCACCGGCUAACUCCGUGCCAGCAGCCGCGGUAAUACGGAGGGUGCAAGCGUUAAUCGGAAUUACUGGGCGUAAAGCGCACGCAGGCGGUUUGUUAAGUCAGAUGUGAAAUCCCCGGGCUCAACCUGGGAACUGCAUCUGAUACUGGCAAGCUUGAGUCUCGUAGAGGGGGGUAGAAUUCCAGGUGUAGCGGUGAAAUGCGUAGAGAUCUGGAGGAAUACCGGUGGCGAAUGCGGCCCCCUGGUCAGAUACUUACACUAAGGUGCGAACGCGUGGGGAGCAAACAGGAUUAGAUACCCUAGUAGUC
rnacentral:rRNA from 1 species